rnacentral:misc_RNA from 1 species
GAUGAAGAACGUAGCGAAAUACGAUAAGUAAUGUGAAUUGCAGAAUUCAGUGAAUCAUCGAAUCUUUGAACGCACAUUGCGCCCUUUGGCAUUCCGAAGGGCACACCUGUCCGAGCGCCGUCGCACAACUGAGGCGCAGCCUUGCGUUGGCGGGCGACUUGUGAGUAGCGAGUCGCCGCCCAAACGAGACGGCGCCGCGCCGCGGCCGACGAAGCACGAAAGCGGAAGUCGACGCGGAGGCGGUUGCCUGUAGGAAGACACAGCUUGGCCUCGGAUCAGGUGGGGAUACCCGCUGAACUUAAGCAUAUCAAUAAGCGGAGGA